GACGAACGCUGGCGGCGUGCCUAAUACGUGCAAGUCGAGCGAAAGGACGAGAAGCUUGCUUCUUUGAUGUUUGCGGCGGACGGGAGAGUAACACGUGGAUACCCUACCUAUAAGUCUGGGAUAACUUCGGGAAACCGGAGCAAAUACCGGAUAAUAUUUUGCACCGCAUGGUUCAAUAGUGAAAGACGGCCUUGCUGUCAGUUGUGGAUGGAUUCGCGCUGCAUUAGCUAGUUGGUAGGGUAGUGGCUUACCAAGGCUACGAUGGGUAGCCGGCCUGAGAGGGUGACCGGCCACAUUGGGACUGAGAUACGGCCCAGACUCCUACGGGAGGCAGCAGUGGGGAAUAUUGCACAAUGGGCGGAAGCAUGAUGCAGCAACGCCGCGUGCGGGAUGAAGGCCUUCGGGUUGUAAACCGCUUUCGCCUGUGAAGAAGCGUGAGUGACGGUAAUGGGUAAAGAAGGACCGGCUAACUACGUG
rnacentral:rRNA from 1 species